rnacentral:rRNA from 1 species
UACGGAGGAUCCAAGCGUUAUCCGGAAUCAUUGGGUUUAAAGGGUCCGUAGGCGGUUUGGUAAGUCAGUGGUGAAAGCCCAUCGCUCAACGGUGGAACGGCCAUUGAUACUGCCAGACUUGAAUUAUUAGGAAGUAACUAGAAUAUGUAGUGUAGCGGUGAAAAUGCUUAGAGAUUACAUGGAAUACCAAUUGCGAAGGCAGGUUACUACUAAUGGAUUUGACGCUGAUGGACGAAAGCGUGGGUAGCGAACAGG